rnacentral:rRNA from 1 species
GAUGAACGCUGGCGGCGUGCCUAAUACAUGCCAGUCGAGCGAACAGACGAGGAGCUUGCUCCUCUGACGUUAGCGGCGGACGGGUGAGUAACACGUGGAUAACCUACCUAUAAGACUGGGAUAACUUCGGGAAACCGGAGCUAAUACCGGAUAAUAUAUUGAACCGCAUGGUUCAAUAGUGAAAGACGGUUUUGCUGUAACUUUUAAUUGAUUCCGCGCCGCAUUAGCUAGUUGGUAAGGUAACGGCUUACCAAGGCAACGAUGCGUAGCCGACCUGAGAGGGUGAUCGGCCACACUGGAACUGAGACACGGUCCAGACUCCUACGGGAGGCAGCAGUAGGGAAUCUUCCGCAAUGGGCGAAAGCUUGACGGAGCAACGCCGCGUGAGUAAUGAAGGUCUUCGGAUCGUAAAACUCUGUUAUUAGGGAAGAACAAAUGUGUAAGUAACUAUGCACGUCUUGACGGUACCUAAUCAGAAAGCCACGGCUAACUACGUG